GAUCAUGGCUCAGGAUGAACGCUAGCUACAGGCUUAACACAUGCAAGUCGAGGGGCAGCAUGGUCUUAGCUUGCUAAGGCCGAUGGCGACCGGCGCACGGGUGAGUAACACGUAUCCAACCUGCCGUCUACUCUUGGACAGCCUUCUGAAAGGAAGAUUAAUACAAAGAUGGCAUCAUGAGUCCGCAUGUUCACAUGAUUAAAGGUAUUCCCGGUAGACGAUGGGGG
rnacentral:rRNA from 1 species